rnacentral:rRNA from 1 species
AGAACGAACGCUGGCGGCAUGCCUAACACAUGCAAGUCGAACGCUCUUGGGACUUCGGUUCCAAGGGAGUGGCGCACGGGUGAGUAGCGCGUGGGAACCUGCCCUGUUGUGGGGGAUAACCGAGGGAAACUUCGGCUAAUACCGCAUAAGCCGGUUGUCUUGAAAGAGAUGGCCGGGAAAGAUUUAUCGCGACAGGAGGGGCCCGCGUCGGAUUAGGUAGUUGGUGGGGUAACGGCCUACCAAGCCUGUGAUCCGUAGCUGGUCUGAGAGGAUGAUCAGCCACACUGGGACUGAGACACGGCCCAGACUCCUACGGGAGGCAGCAGUGGGGAAUAUUGGACAAUGGGCGCAAGCCUGAUCCAGCAAUGCCGCGUGAGUGAUGAAGGCCUUCGGGUUGUAAAGCUCUUUCGCCCGCGACGAUGAUGACGGUAGCGGGAGAAGAGCCCGGCUAACUUCGUGCCAGCAGCCGC